CAAUAGCGUAUAUUAAAGUUGUUGCGGUUAAAAAGCUCGUAGUUGGAUUUCUGCCGAGGACGACCGGUCCGCCCUCUGGGUGAGCAUCUGGCUCGGCCUGGGCAUCCUCUUGGAGAACGUAGCUGCACUUGACUGUGUGGGGCGGUAUCCAGGACUUUUACUUUGAGGAAAUUAGAGUGUUUCAAGCAGGCAUACGCCUUGAAUACAUUAGCAUGGAAUAAUAAGAUAGGACCUCGGUUCUAUUUUGUUGGUUUCUAGAGCUGAGGUAAUGAUUAAUAGGGAUAGUUGGGGGCAUUCGUAUUUAACUGUCGGAGGUGAAAUUCUUGGAUUUGUUAAAGACGGACUACUGCGAAAGCAUUUGCCAAGGAUGUUUUCAUUGA
rnacentral:rRNA from 1 species